GAUGAACGCUGGCGGCGUGCCUAAUACAUGCAAGUCGAGCGGAAAGACGCGGCGCUUGCUCCUCUGACGUUAGCGGCGGACGGGUGAGUAACGCGUGGAUCACCUACCUAUCAUUCGGGGAUAACUUCGGGAAACCGGCGCUAAUACCGGAUAAUAUAUUGAACCGCAUGGUUCAAUGGUGAGAGACGGCUUUGCUGGCACUUCUAGCUGGUUCUGGGCCGCAUUAGCUAGUUGGUAAGGUCACGGCUUACCAAGGCGACGAUGCGUAGCCGACCGGAGGGAGGGAUCGGCCGCACGGGAAGGGAGACACGGACCAGACGCCUACGGGACGCAGCAGAAGGGAAUGGGAGGCAAUGGGCGAAAGCAUGACGGAGUAAGGCCGCGCGAGUGACGAAGGCGUUGGGAUCGUAAAGCCCUGUUAUGGGGUAAGAACAACUGUGGAAGUAAAUAUGCACGUAGUGACGGUACCUAAUCAGGAAGCAACGGCUAACUACGUG
rnacentral:rRNA from 1 species